rnacentral:rRNA from 1 species
ACGUACACUCCUGCGGGAGGCAGCAGUGGGGAAUCUUGCGCAAUGGGCGAAAGCCUGACGCAGCCAUGCCGCGUGAAUGAUGAAGGUCUUAGGAUUGUAAAAUUCUUUCACCGGGGACGAUAAUGACGGUACCCGGAGAAGAAGCCCCGGCUAACUUCGUGCCAGCAGCCGCGGUAAUACGAAGGGGGCUAGCGUUGCUCGGAAUUACUGGGCGUAAAGGGAGCGUAGGCGGACAUUUAAGUCAGGGGUGAAAUCCCGGGGCUCAACCUCGGAAUUGCCUUUGAUACUGGGUGUCUUGAGUAUGAGAGAGGUGUGUGGAACUCCGAGUGUAGAGGUGAAAUUCGUAGAUAUUCGGAAGAACACCAGUGGCGAAGGCGACACACUGGCUCAUUACUGACGCUGAGGCUCGAAAGCGUGGGGAGCAAACAGGAUUAGAUACCCCUGUAGUCCCAUG